rnacentral:lncRNA from 1 species
AUUCAACUAAAAGGAUCUGAGAACUAUGGAUUAUGGCAAAGAUCGAUGUACAUAGCACUGCAGGCAAAGAGAAAAUUAGGAUUCGUACUUGGAACAUGCAAAAGGAGCUCGUUCGAGAAGAAAUUGCAGGAGCAAUGGAAAACCUGCAACGCAAUCAUCUUAUCGCGGAUCAUCAACAUUGUGGCUCCAUCUCUUUUCAGUGGAAUUGUUUAUGCUACUGUUGACACCCAAUUUUGACCCUCCACAAUAUAAAUUAAUCAUCGAGUUUCUUCAAUUUCAAGCGAUUUAAAAUAAUUAGUUUUAGAAAAUUUCAAAAAUAAUAAUAAUAGUUUGCAAAUUACUUUUAAAUAGUUUUGUCGCCUUUUUAUAAUUUUUGAAUAAUAUACAUGUUUUACAUAAUUAUGUAUAUAAUUAGUAUAUUUUAUGAAUAUUCGAAAAUCGUCUCAAAAAGAUUUUAUUUUAGUAAUUAUUUUAUUAAAUUAGUUUAGUUUAAAUCAUGGUUAUAAUUUCAAAUUAUUUAGUUUAUUAAGUUAUUUAUUUUAUUUCGUUAAGAUUAAGAAGCUCAUUAAUUAAUCAUACUAAUUCAUCUUAUUUAACUACUAGCCGAGUUUACUAAAUUUGAUCAAUUCGACUAGGUCCUUAACUUCAAUUGUCUAUAAUUGCAAUUCAUUGGUCCUUUUCUCAAUUACAAUUUUAGUCAAUCCUUACAUCCAAUUUUAUUUCAUUUUUUGGGCCAUUUUCCCCAUCAAAUUCCAAACUAUUUCCAGCCCCACCCUCAAAGAUAUCCGACCCAGCCCGUUUCAUCUUCAGCAAAAGGAACCCAGAGAGUUCAACUUUCCCAAAACGUUAACAGCAGCAGCAGGACGCGACUCUGAGACGUCAACAACAGCCGCCCUCACGUCUCUUUUUUCCCCUUUUUCGCGGAGUCACAGGCUUGCACAACAACCCCAUCCUUUGCCUUGAAAAGAAGCAAAGGAAUUCAAAAUUUGAACACAGAUUUUCCCCCUAAAUCGCCCAAUUGUUUCCUUCUCUACGUUUAGUGAUUUGAAAAAAGGUUUUGGAGUUAGGUUCUUUGGCAAUAAUCUUUUACACUUACGAAAUCUUGAAGCUAUUUGUAGACAUUGAAAUUUUGUGGACUCUACAAGACGUGUUCAAUUCGAAUUGAGACUCUAGAAGGUGUGUUCAGUUUCAAUUAGAAUUCUUGGAGGCUACUCAACCCUAAACCUUAGUUCAUGUCUAUAUAAAGGGUACUAAAUUCCCUUAAAGACAUCUCAAAAUAUCCCAUAAACUCUAGAGUAUUUUUAAAGAUCAAGAUCUCAUAUAUUCCACAAAAGUCAUGGAAUAUUAGAGGUCGAAUUUAAAUCAUUCUAGUUCGAGAAAUAAGCCACUAACGACCCUUGAAUCAUGGAUAAAUAUCUCAGGAGAGUAGAAUCUAGGGAGGAACAGAAUUGUACUCGCAAUUUUUAUCAAUACAGUUAUGUUUCUUCAGAUUUUAUUGUGUGGUUUAUUUAUUUUCCAUAUGUUUAAAAUUUGUUGCAAACACUAUUCUCGAAUUCUAAAUUCCGAGAAAGACUUUGAUUGAAGGUUUGUUCAAAUUUCCAUGUCUGUUGUUUGAGUCUAAACCGGUGUAAGAAGUUGUUGCUUUCUUUGGCUGCUUUUAUUCUCAGUUCGCUGCCCCUGAAAAGGUAAACACUCCUUUUAUGAUUUUAGUCUCUUUGUCGUAAUUUAACAGUAGUUUAAUUUUAUUGUCUGAUUACGUGAUCCUGCUAGACUGAUGUGAUGAUGGUAUAAUAAUCGGUGGUUUAACUUGUUCGCUAUUCAUGUUGUUGUGUGGUUCUGUUUUGCUCAAAAUCUUAGUGAUUCUGUUCGGCUCUGAGUCGGUUUCUUCCUAUUUUAUUUUUGUUUCACCAUUAAUCUCAUCUUGUAGGCUGUGAGAGUUGCAGUUCAAUCGUGAAGUUUGAAAUCAUCUUCUAUAGAUGAUUUCGAUUUCCAUAAUCUGAUAAAUAGAUCAUUUUUUACUCUUGUUACUUGCAAACUAAGUGUUGUGACUAGUCCAUUGGUAGUUGUAUCUCUAAAAUCUCUUGUAUAAUGGAGUUGGCUGUAUAUUCCCGAUUAUCUCGUAUUAUGAGUUGACAAAACUGAUUAUUUCAAGUUGUGGGAGUGUUCGUUCCAUGUCAACUUGUGUUGUUAUAGCUUUGAGUCCAUUUUAGUAGUUGUUGCUUUAAAAUGAUUUUUAAAUUUGUGAAUCUUCUUAGUUUUGGUUCGGAAUGCGUCUUUGUCCAACCUAAAACUAAUCUUGUUCUUGGUUACUGCAUAUGCUUUUUUAACUUGAUAUUCUCCUAAGCUUAUGGGUUGCUUAACUUCUCAUUUCAUAUCUGUUUGAAUCUCAACUUAUCGUUAUGCAUGUUUAGUUUAAUUUUCAUGCUUGCACAACUUCCGAUUUAGCGGUUUAGGUUUCUUAUACAUAUAUGAUCUCCUAUACUGUGAUGAUGAUAUUCUCUAUAUGAAGUAAGCUUAUUUCAGCUAAAAUGUAGUUGUUCUUAAACGUUUUCAGCGUCCAGCCUUAAUGGAAAUAUAAAGUUGCUUUUUUUGCAUUCGAAUAUAGCUAAAUGUCACUCUUUUGCUGAUUGUCAUGUUGUUCAAUGGUCAAUGUGAAUUCAAUGUUAUCGUAAUCAUUUUUUAACGCCAUGUAGUAUUUGGUUAACUUGAUGUUACACUUGGUCUUUCACUUUGUGCUGUCUAUUGAAUCCCCAAGUUAACCGUAUUUUCCAAUUUCAAUUGUUAAAAAUGCCCUCUUAACUUGCUUAUUUCUUUGGGUUCUCUGCCUGUUCCCAUUUGCCAUUUUUAACUUUUAUGUUCCUUUUGUGUAGUUUUCUAUGUUGUCCUAGGUUUUGAUUCGAUGAAAUUGCUUAUAGAUAAGAGUGGUCAGCUUUACUGUGAAUAUUGAUUUAACCCUUGCUUGCCCUUUUUUUUUUACUGUACUCUGUAUUGAAGUUAAUAGUUGUGUAUAAUGUCUAAUAAUCCUGACAUAUUGCUAUGAUGUUAAUAUAAAUAGGAUGCUUUAGUUUUCACAUGAUUCCAUCAUCUAUGUUUGUCCUUAAAUUAAUGAAGCAUGAUUUGUUAUUUGUGGUUAUUUAAGUUUAAUAGGCUAAUUCAUUUUGUUACAGUUUAUUAGUUGUUUCUUGUAAUAUGCCUCUCAUCAUUAUUGGUUCAUGAUUUUGAGUUGUUUAAAUUACCGUUCUAAUUCUUAUCGUCUUAUUUUCCUUACAUGAACCUUUCCGAGUCCGUGGUGGACUCCUUCUCUUUUGCAUCCUCGAGAUGAGCCAUAGAGGUUCAAUUUUUCUCCAUUGAGUCAGCCUUAAAUGCCUUCGAAAUGAGGGAAGCUGAUCUGAAAACAAAUUACAAUUCUCAAGUCCCAAAAGCCCAAAAAGGGGUUGUAUACAAGAUGCAUACAGCUACAUACAUCAAUAUACAGGUCAAAAAUGAAAAAUACAGGGCUAAGGCGAAAUACAGGUGUUCGAAAGCAAGAAAUACAUGAAAAGAACUGAUAUACACUCUCAUAUACACUGAUAUAUAUCCGGUGUAUACGCAAAAAGGGGAAUUGGGUUAAAGCCCAAAAAUUUGCAGUGAAAUUGGCCCAAGAAGGGGCCCAAUUUCCUUAUCUCUUUUACUCUUCUAAUUGUUUUGAUUAUGCUUGACUAAUUUUAUUUAACUCUAACUUUAGAACUAUUAAUUAACUUACUUAGACCCCCAAAAGAUGAGUUAUUUUCUUUGUGUUGGUUUACUUUUAAUACAUUUUUAGUGUUUAUUUAUUUUAUAUCUUUAAUUAAGUUAACUCUUUGUUCUUAAAAAGUUAUGUUAUUUAAUGCUUUUCACUUAAUCACAUUUUUACUCAUUUUAAAAUUGUUUUAAGUUAAAGUAUUUUUCUCAAAUAAGCUUUAAAAAUGUUAAUUUUUUUUGAGAAAAUACAUAAUUACCUCAUUAAAUUAAGACCUGUUUUUUAAAAAGACACUUGAACUUUGCGAGGGUCCUAUUACCCCCUUAAACAAUUUUGAAGUGUUAUAAAAAUCCCACUUUUCAGCCACCCUCAAUUGCAAAAAAGAAAGUGUGCUCACGCACCAAUUAUUAUCUGACACGUGUAAAAUUUUAAUUUUUAAUCUUUAUUUUCAUUUUUGGUUUUCUUAAUUUAUUAGCUUCAUUUUUUUUCUCUUACUUCUUCUUUCUUUAUCGCUCUUUUUCGUUGUUGCAGCCUUCCAUCUAGCCAGCCGCCAUCACUGCAAGUCCUCGACUUGGCCACCAUCGCCGCCAAUGGAGUAGCCUUCAUCACGCCAUUAUUAAAAUCUCAUCAAAUCAUUAUUAAAUCAAAAUAAAAUUACUAAUAAAUUAUAAAUUGAAAAUUAAUAAUCACCUUCAAUCUAUCAUCUUCUUUCCAAUAUUAAAACAAUUAUGCAGCGGAACUCCAUUAUGAUGGAGGUAAUGAAAUACUAUAAUACUCUCGAAUCGAUGCUAAAGAACUACAUUUUAAAAAAAAAAUAUUAUCAAAGGAGGUUCACAAUUAUUAUUAUUUUUGAACAAAUAAGGGACAAAAGAAGAAAAGGGAACAAAGAGAAGCAAGAAGACAAGGAAAAAAAACUGAGUGAAGUAAAUGGGUUUUCUAAGUUGAAGAAGAUAGAGAUGAGAUAGUUGAUUCUUUUGAGUUUUGGGGAAGAAGAUAGCAAAAAAAAAUAAAAAAAAUGGAGAAAGUACAAUAAAAUAAAUAAAAGAAAAAAAGAACAUUUCUAAUUAAAUAAAUACUUAGAUAAAUAUAUAUUUACGUUUUGACUCAGCUCACUCGCUAUCAGAGAGUGAACUACACUCUACAUGCCACAUAGGCAAGUAAUGGGAUAAUAAAUUCAUUCUACAUAAGAAGAGGGGGUUAAUAGGACCCCCCGCAAAGUUCAGGUGUCUUUUUAAAAAACAGGUCUUAGUUUAAUGGGGUAAUGAUGUAUUUUUCCCUUUUUUUUUCAAUUAAUUUAAAAAUACUUACUUAGUCAUUUUCUCAAAAUGGUUAGUCAAACUUUCAUGCUUAAAUUAACCAAUUUGGUUUAAAUCAUAUUUUAAAAAAUGAGUCAAAUAAAUUCUAAUUAAUCUAAUUUUGUUAAAAUUCUAUUCACUUGCAUUUUAAUUCAAAUGUUUCAUUUUAGUCCCCUUUCUCUAAAAAAUAAAAUAAAAUAAAAUGUGUCAUUUAUUUAAUUAUUUUCUCAAAGCUAAUCAAAUAUUGUAAAUUAUUAUUUUUUAUGUUAAAUCCUUUUUCAAAAAAUAGUCAAAUAUUUAAUCUAAGUCGUAGGAUAACCGCAUAUUAGCGGACACUUCAAAUGCUUUAAAAACCUUCUUGAAGUGUAAAUGAGAACCUCUUACCCAUUUUCUCUAAAUUUUGAAAGACUUAAUAUGUUAGAGUCUUUUUAAAUUAAGUUUUCUUAAUUUCUUUAAAAACUAAUUGGUGCAAGAGGAUUGAAAGUACCAGACUCUACUAAUCUAGUUGAUGAGGUUGUAGCUAUUAGAGAGGCUUUGCAAUAUUGUUGGGAGAAGGGAUAUACUAACAUUAUUGUAGAGUCUGAUGCUUUGGCAUUGGUACAUAUGCUAAAUGGUGAUUGGGAGAUACCAUGGAGUGUUGAUUUGAAAGUCAACUCUAUUAAUAGGCUGAAGGAUUUGAUGUCAGUAAGAGUACAACAUUCCUUAAGAGAGGGAAAUACUCUUGCUGAUUUUUUUGCUAACCUGAUUUUUUGUUUUGCAAGAAACUGUGAAUUUACAAAUUUUCAAGAGGUUCCAAUUGUAGGCAUAAAGAUAAUCAACAUAGAUAAGCAGAAUAUUUCAAUUAUGAGAAUCAGACAAUCUAAUGCUACAAGUUACUAAAAUUGUGAGUUAACCUACAAAGAUUCAAGAUGAGUUUUAAAGCUAGUUAGAUUAACACUAUAUGGCAGUUCCUAUAGAUCGUCUGAAGUAACUUUGUUUGGUCAAUAUACCACGCACCUGGUGAGAGCUUUGAGGUGUAUCGUGUGGUAUAAAAUCAGGACUAAGAAGGUAAUCACAUUCAAGUGUCUAUCUAAGUUUGUUUUAAUUUACACCAUAUUCUGUAAGAGCGUUAUAGGCAGUGCAAGACUAAUAUUCAUUAAUGGGGUUAGUAAUACAAUCGUAGUCCAACAAAGAGCAUAAUAGUGCUAUUGGAUAGACAUAACUAGUUAUGCAACCUAAUGAGAUAAUUGAUUGACAAAAUCUCUCACAAUCCAUAAAAUCAGUAAAGUUUACUCGAAUUUAAGAACAAGUGGUGGUAUUAAUCCCUUGGUUGGAUUCAACCCACCUAGACUUAGAUUUGGGUAAGGAUUAACUGAUUGUAGGUUGUAAAGGUACAAGUUGACUCAAAAUGGAAGAUAACAUCCAUCGAUUUGUUACUCAAGGAAAGAUCAGAUCUAAUUACAAAGUCAAAACAUCGGAUGGUCAAGAUAAGAAGCAUACCUAUUUCUUGAAGAUUAAGCGAAAUGACGUUUGAGAGCUGUAGAAGGUCGGGGAAGUGGGGGAGUUUAGACAGCAAGAGAGCUCGUUGAAAAAGACUUGGAUCGUUCCAUUUUCCUUUUUUGAUUUUUGUGUGUCUUUCUUUCAAUUGUCUGCAAAG